rnacentral:rRNA from 1 species
CCUACGGGUGGCAGCAGUGAGGAAUAUUGGUCAAUGGGCGGGAGCCUGAACCAGCCAAGCCGCGUGAGGGAAGAAGGUACAGCGUAUCGUAAACCUCUUUUGUCAGGGAACAAAGGCGGGGACUAGUCCCCGGAUGAGGGUACCUGAAGAAAAAGCAUCGGCUAACUCCGUGCCAGCAGCCGCGGUAAUACGUAGGGAGCAAGCGUUGUUCGGAAUGACUGGGCGGAAAGGGUGCGUAGGCGGUUAUACAAGUUAGAAGUGAAAUACCCGGGGCUUAACUCGGGUGCUGCUUCUAAAACUGUAAGACUUGAGUGCAGUAGAGGUUAGUGGAAUGCCUGGUGUAGCGGUGGAAUGCGUAGAUAUUAGGAGGAACACCAGAGGCGAAGGCGGCUAACUGGACUGCAACUGACGCUGAGGCACGAAAGUGUGGGGAGCAAACAGGAUUAGAUACCCGUGUAGUC